rnacentral:rRNA from 1 species
AAGUCGGGCCUGCCCACUGAUAGUAUUGAAGGGCCGCGGUAUCUUGACCGUGCAAAGGUAGCAUAAUCAUUAGUCUUUUAAUUGAGGGCUGGAAUGAAUGGUUUGACGAAGUAUUAACUGUCUCUGUGUAAAAUGUAGAAUUUGUCUUUUAAGUCAAAAGACUUAACUAAUAAUAAGGGACGAGAAGACCCUAUAGAGCUUUAUAUAGAAUUUUGAUAUAUAAAUUUGGUGGUAUAAUUAUUUAUUUAAAUUUUAUAUUGUGUUGGGGUGACAUGAAGAUAAAUUUAACUCUUUAUAGUUAUAAACAUAGAUUUAUGGAUAAUUGAUCCAAUAAUAGUGAUUAAAAGAUAAAGUUACCUUAGGGAUAACAGCGUAAUUUUUCUUGAGAGUUCAUAUCGAAAGAGAAGUUUGCGACUCGAUGUUGGAUUAAG